UACAGAGGGUGCGAGCGUUAUUCGGAAUUACUGGGCGUAAAGCGCGCGUAGGCGGCUUUGUAAGUCGGGCGUGAAAUCCCCAGGCUUAACCUGGGAACUGCAUUCGAGACUGCAUUGCUAGAGUAUGGGAGAGGGAAGUGGAAUUUCCGGUGUAGCGGUGAAAUGCGUAGAUAUCGGAAGGAACAUCAGUGGCGAAAGCGACUUCCUGGACCAAUACUGACGCUCAUGGGCGAAAGCGAGGGGAGCAAACAGG
rnacentral:rRNA from 1 species